rnacentral:rRNA from 1 species
UAACGCCGCGUGGAGGAUGACGGCCUUCGGGUUGUAAACUCCUUUUCUGCGGGAAGAGUAGAAGACGGUACCGCAGGAAGAAGCCUCGGCUAACUACGUGC